UCCUCACAAGUGAGAAGCUCGAAAAGUAUAGACAAACAUGUUUUGGACACUUACUUGACAUGAAGAACCUCCGGUUCUCUGGUCAGUUAGUGCAUCACCUGCUUUGCAGACAAGUUGAGUCCAACAAUCCAGAAGUACUGGAGUUUAACUUCGGCGGAUCUGCAGUGCGGUUUACGAAGUGGGAAUUCGCACUCAUUAGUGGGUUAAAGUUUUGUAGGUACCCUUCGAUGUAUGAUUUGCAAAUUUCCAAAGGAAAUGAGCUGCGCACGAGGUUGCUAGAUGACAGGAGUGACUUGAAACCGCCUGAACUGGAAUGACUAUUCAAGGAUACACUUUUUGUGGAUGAUUGGGAUGCUGUUAGAAUUGCGUUACUAUAUUUCUUAGUUCAUGGUGUACUCGGAAUGGAUCCGAAGGUUCAAAUAAAAAAAAAAAUUCAUUGAUUUGGUUGCUGAUCUCGACGUAUUUAAUUCCUACCCUUGGGGCAUUCUGAGCUACAAGGAGACGAUCAACUCAUUCCACAAUGCAUUCCAGCUACGAGGACGAGGACGUGCAGUAAAGAAUAUAUCACAGUAUUAUGACCUAAAAGGUUUUCCAUUGGUGUUUCAGGUGUGGGGGUUUGAAGCAAUCCCUGAUUUUGGUAACCAAUUUGCCGACCGGUUGGAAACCCGUUGUCCGAGGAUCCUUGGAUGGCAUACUCCAAGGCAACCGAACCAUUUUGCUGUCCAUAAUUGGUUCUCCUCCAAUAGCAGUUAUGUUGUGCACUGGACGUUAGAUGCUACCGAUGAGGAGAAGACUAUGGAUUACUGGCGAACAAUAGCAGUUGACAUACAUGAAGUUCGCUACACGUCACCUCCAAUUGUAGCACCAAUAGUUGGCGCUAAAGAUGUUAGAGCUAAAGAUGCGUCCAAAGCUGGGGAGCAUUCUAGUGGCCCUCCAGAUUCUAAU